rnacentral:rRNA from 1 species
GUACCGUCAUUUUCUUCCCUACUGAAAGCGGUUUACAACCCUAAGGCCUUCUUCCCGCACGCGGCGUUGCUGCAUCAGGCUUGCGCCCAUUGUGCAAGAUUCCCCA